rnacentral:rRNA from 1 species
UGGGGGAUAUUGCACAAUGGGGGAAACCCUGAUGCAGCAAUGCCGCGUGAGGGAAGAAGGUCUUCGGAUUGUAAACCUAAGUUGUCAGGGACGAUGAUGACGGUACCUGAAGAGGAAGCUCCGGCUAACUACGUGCCAGCAGCCGCGGUAAUACGUAGGGAGCGAGCGUUGUCCGGAAUUACUGGGUGUAAAGGGUGCGUAGGCGGGAUGGCAAGUCAGACGUGAAAUACCGGGGCUUAACUCCGGAGCUGCGUUUGAAACUGUCGUUCUUGAGUGAAGUAGAGGCAGGCGGAAUUCCCAGUGUAGCGGUGAAAUGCGUAGAUAUUGGGAGGAACACCAGUGGCGAAGGCGGCCUGCUGGGCUUUAACUGACGCUGAGGCACGAAAGUAUGGGGAGCAAACA